rnacentral:lncRNA from 1 species
ACACAACCAAAUUUCAAUAUAAAAAAAAAAAAAAACCAUCAUUCAUCAACCAUUUGAAUUUUACUCUUCAACUUUCUCUGGCUCCUCAGAUGCAGGGGCAGAUUCCUCUGUUUUCUCUGCUUCGGGUUCUGCAACUGGGGCUGCUUCGGGUUCAGCUACGGGUGCUGGAGCCUCCUCAACGGGUGCUGCAGCAACCGGUUCCUCAGCUGCGGCUGCAGGUUCUUCUGCAGCCACAGGCUCUUCAGCUACAGGGGCUGCUACUUCCUCCGCAGCAGGAGCAGCCUCUUCUGGUGCUGGUGCUGAUUCGACCUCAACAUCCUUUUCU